rnacentral:rRNA from 1 species
AACGAACGCUGGCGGCAAGCUUAACACAUGCAAGUCGAGCGCCCCACAAGGGGAGCGGCAGACGGGUGAGUAACACGUGGGAACCUUCCUAGAGGUACGGAACAACUCAGGGAAACUUGAGCUAAUACCGUAUACGCUCUUGCGAGGAAAGAUUUAUCGCCUUUAGACGGGCCCGCGGCGGAUUAGCUAGUUGGUGGGGUAACGGCCUACCAAGGCGACGAUCCGUAGCUGAUCUGAGAGGAUGAUCAGCCACACUGGGACUGAGACACGGCCCAGACUCCUACGGGAGGCAGCAGUGGGGAAUCUUGGACAAUGGGCGCAAGCCUGAUCCAGCCAUGCCGCGUGAGUGAAGAAGGCCUUCGGGUUGUAAAGCUCUUUUGCCAGGGACGAUAAUGACGGUACCUGGAGAAUAAGCCCCGGCAAACUUCGUGCCAGCCGCCGCCGUAA